rnacentral:rRNA from 1 species
GCGGACAGAUGGGAGCUUGCUCCCUGAUGUCAGCGGCGGACGGGUGAGUAACACGUGGGUAACCUGCCUGUAAGACUGGGAUAACUCCGGGAAACCGGGGCUAAUACCGGAUGCUUGAUUGAACCGCAUGGUUCAAUUAUAAAAGGUGGCUUCUGCUACCACUUACCGAUGGACCCCCGGCGCAAUAGCUAGUUGGUGAGGUAACGGCUCACCAAGGCCACCAUUCGUAACCCAACUGAAAGGGUGAUCGGCCACACUGGGACUGAAACACGGCCCAAACUCCUACCGGAGGCAGCAAUAGGGAAUCUUCCGCAAUGGACGAAAGUCUGACGGAACAACGCCCCGUGAGUGAUGAAGGUUUUCGGAUCGGAAAACUCUUUUGUUAGGGAAAAACCAGUACCGUUCGAAUAGGGGGGUACCUUGACGGUUCCUAACCAGAAAGGCCCGGCUAACUACCUGCCCGCCGCCGCGGUAAUACUUAAGUUGCAAGGGUGUGUCCGGAAUUAUUGGGCGUAAAGCGCGCGCAGGCGGUUUCUUAAGUCUGAUGUGAAAGCCCCCGGCUCAACCGGGGAGGGUCAUUGGAAACUGGGGAACUUGAGUGCAGAAGAGGAGAGUGGAAUUCCACGUGUAGCGGUGAAAUGCGUAGAGAUGUGGAGGAACACCAGUGGCGAAGCCGACUCUCUGGUCUGUAACUGACGCUGAGGCGCGAAAGCGUGGGGAGCGAACAGGAUUAGAUACCCUGGUAGUCCACGCCGUAAACGAUGAGUGCUAAGUGUUAGAGGGUUUCCGCCCUUUAGUGCUGCAGCAAACGCAUUAAGCACUCCGCCUGGGGAGUACGGUCGCAAGACUGAAACUCAAAGGAAUUGACGGGGGCCCGCACAAGCGGUGGAGCAUGUGGUUUAAUUCGAAGCAACGCGAAGAACCUUACCAGGUCUUGACAUCCUCUGACAACCCUAGAGAUAGGGCUUCCCCUUCGGGGGCAGAGUGACA